UACGUAGGGUGCGAGCGUUAAUCGGAAUUACUGGGCGUAAAGCGUGCGCAGGCGGUUUUGUAAGCCAGAUGUGAAAGCCCCGGGCUUAACCUGGGAAUGGCAUUUGGGACUGCAAGGCUAGAGUGCGGCAGAGGAGACUGGAAUUCCUGGUGUAGCAGUGAAAUGCGUAGAGAUCGUAAGGAAGACCAGUGGCGAAGGCGGGUCUCUGGACAGUUCCUGACACUGAGGCACGAAGGCCAGGGGAGCAAACGGG
rnacentral:rRNA from 1 species